AGCGAACGCUGGCGGCAGGCCUAACACAUGCCAGUCGAACGAACCUUUCGGGGUUAGUGGCGGACGGGUGAGUAACACGUGGGAACGUGCCUUUAGGUUCGGAAUAACUCAGGGAAACUUGUGCUAAUACCGAAUGUGCCCUUCGGGGGAAAGAUUAAUCGCCGUUAGAGCGGCCCGCGUCUGAUUAGCUAGUUGGUUGAGGUAAUGGCUCACCAAGGCGACGAUCAGUAGCUGGUCUGAGAGGAUGAUCAGCCACAUUGGGACUGAGACACGGCCCAAACUCCUACGGGAGGCAGCAGUGGGGAAUCUUGCGCAAUGGGCGAAAGCCUGACGCAGCCAUGCCGCGUGAAUGAUGAAGGUCUUAGGAUUGUAAAAUUCUUUCACCGGGGACGAUAAUGACGGUACCCGGAGAAGAAGCCCCGGCUAACUUCGUG
rnacentral:rRNA from 1 species